rnacentral:rRNA from 1 species
AAUUUUGGACAAUGGGGGCAACCCUGAUCCAGCCAUCCUGCGUGUGCGAUGAUGGCCUUCGCGUUGUAAAGCACCUAUGGCCGGUAAGAAAAGCCGCGGUCCAAUACCUCGUGGUUCUGACGGUACUUUCCGAAUACGCACCGGCUAACUACGUGCCAGCAGCCGCGGUAAUACGUAGGGUGCAAGCGUUAAUCGGAAUUACUGGGCGUAAUGCGUGCGCAGGCGGUUUGGCAAGAAGGAUGUGAAAUCCCGGGGCUUAACCUCGGAACUGCAUUCUUAACUGCCAGGCUAGAGUAUGUCAGAGGGGGGUAGAAUUCCACGUGUAGCAGUGAAAUGCGUAGAGAUGUGGAGGAAUACCGAUGGCGAAGGCAGCCCCCUGGGAUAAUACUGACGCUCAUGCACGAAAGCGUGGGGAGCAAACA